rnacentral:rRNA from 1 species
UACGGGAGGCAGCAGUGAGGAAUAUUGGUCAAUGGACGCAAGUCUGAACCAGCCAUGCCGCGUGCAGGAUGACGGCUCUAUGAGUUGUAAACUNCUUUUGUACGAGGGUAAACNCAGNUACGUGUAUCUGUCUGAAAGUAUCGUACGAAUAAGGAUCGGCUAACUCCGUGCCAGCAGCCGCGGUAAUACGGAGGAUUCAAGCGUUAUCCGGAUUUAUUGGGUUUAAAGGGUGCGUAGGCGGUUUGAUAAGUUAGAGGUGAAAUUUCGGGGCUCAACCCUGAANGUGCCUCUAAUACUGUUGANCUAGAGAGNAGUUGCGGUAGGCGGAAUGUAUGGUGUAGCGGUGAAAUGCUUAGANAUCAUNCAGAACNCCGAUUGCGAAGGCAGCUUACCAAACUAUAUCUGACGUUGAGGCACGAAAGCGUGGGGANCAAACAGGAUUAGAUACCCUGGUAGUCCACGCAGUAAACGAUGAUAACUCGCUGUCNGCGAUANACANUCGGCGACUAAGCGAAAGCG